UACGUAGGGACCGAGCGUUGUCCGGAUUCAUUGGGCGUAAAGAGCUCGUAGGCGGCUGUUCAAGUCGAACGUGAAAACUCGGAGCUUAACUCCGAGCCUGCUUCCGAUACGGGCAGACUAGAGGUAGGCAGGGGAGAGCGGAACUCCUGGUGUAGCGGUGGAAUGCGCAGAUAUCAGGAAGAACACCAAUGGCGAAAGCAGCUCUCUGGGACGGUACUGACGCUGAGACGCGAAAGCGUGGGGAGCGAACAGG
rnacentral:rRNA from 1 species